GCAAGUCGAGGGGUAACAGAGGUAGCUUGCUACUUGCUGACGACCGGCGCACGGGUGCGUAACGCGUAUACAAUUUACCUUAUACAGGGGGAUAGCCUUUAGAAAUGAAGAUUAAUACCCCAUAGUCUAUAGAUGUGGCAUCAUGUUUAUAGUAAAGAUUUAUCGGUAUAAGAUGAGUAUGCGUUCUAUUAGUUAGUUGGUAAGGUAACGGCUUACCAAGACAGCGAUAGAUAGGGGUCCUGAGAGGGAGAUC
rnacentral:rRNA from 1 species